rnacentral:rRNA from 1 species
GAUGAACGCUCGCGAUAGGCUUAACACAUGCAAGUCGAGGGGCAGCACAAGGUAGCUUGCUAUCUGGGUGGCGACCGGCGCACGGGUGCGUAACGCGUAUGCAACUUGCCCUAUACAGGAGGAUAACCCGUCGAAAGACGGACUAAUACUGCGUAUGCUCACAACUUGGCAUCAAGUGGUGAGGAAAGAAAUUCGGUAUAGGAUAGGCAUGCGUCCCAUUAGCUUGUUGGUGAGGUAACGGCUCACCAAGGCAACGAUGGGUAGGGGAACUGAGAGGUUUAUCCCCCACACUGGUACUGAGACACGGGCCAGACUCCUACGGGAGGCAGCAGUGAGGAAUAUUGGUCAAUGGGCGCGAGCCUGAACCAGCCAAGUCGCGUGAAGGAUGACUGUCUUAUGGAUUGUAAACUUCUUUUAUACGGGAAUAACAAGAGUCACGUGUGACUCCCUGCAUGUACCGUAUGAAUAAGCAUCGGCUAACUCCGUG